CUUUGUUUCUCAGGCUGAUCUCAAACUCCUGGCCUCAAGCGAUCCUCCUGCCUCUGUCUCCCAAAGUGGCGGUGUUAUAUGAGAUAGAAAGAGAUUAUUUAGGUAGACAGUUAGGGUAAAGUGAGUCCCAGCAGAAAACUUUCCUUCUAACAAAAAGCAGCUCAGAAAUAGCUCUCUUGCUAACCUCAUGCAGUUCAAAGAAAUCACUUCUCUUCUAACAAAGAACAGCUUGAAAGAUCAGGCUGUAUAAACACAGAUAAACAACUCAGGCACAGAAGGAGGUGGGGAGUCUCCUAGGUAAUCACCAAACUUCACACUUAUAAAAUGGACCCCAGUAAAAACAGUAGGCCUUAAUAAGCACAUUCCUUUCCUUUUAGGCACACUAAGAUAGGGAAGCUAAAAGUGGACUUGGGGGAGAUGCCUGCAGCUGCAGGAAGAUGUCUGGGAACAGACACAGAAACUCUCCCUCCCAGAUAAGCCAAACAAAGCAGCACAAAGCAGCACAGACUAAGAGUCUGCCUACAUGAUCGAGGAGUGAGGUGAGAGCUGAUAGAAAACUCUGCUCUGUGCACAUAGCACACCUGGUCCCAACCAAAUCUUUGGGCCUCAGUAAGAUAAGACACCCCCUCCUCACUAGCCCAAUUAUAAAAACCCUGACAUUUUUACUGCAACUUGGCAACCCGCUCAGGAUUCCUCUCUGUGAAAGAGCUGUUCUUUCCUUUUGCCUAUUAAACUCCUGCUCCAAUCCCACUCUGUGUGUGUGUGUCCGCGACUUCAAUUUCCUUGGCCAUGAGACCAAGAACCUUGGUAUUUACCCCAGACAAUCAGGCUGCUUCAUUUUGGGGGCCCGUCCAGGAUUUGAAGGUGAAUUCAUUGGAACGGUGAGUAAAGGAGUGGACUCUCUACUUUCAUUUCCAAGGCUUCUCAUCCCCAGUUGUUAUUCUCUCAAAGAACUAUUAAAAAAAUCAGGCAUCUGUUGGCUAAUUAAUGAGUCACAAGGGCUAGCUGCCAGUGUUAAAGACUCAGAUGUGAAGCUUGCUGGGGAGGACUUAGUCAAUCCCCCAGUGCCCUCAGGGUGCUGGGAAUGUUGGCUCUGUCCAAACCAGUUUCCUUUCAUGGAGAAUUUUGCCAUCACACGGGGCUGGAAUAGGUCCCGGGGCAACUGAGGAUUUCUGGCCAGGGCUACACCCUGGUGUUGCCCAAAGGCUCCUGGACUGACACCAGCCUCCGACUGCCCGACUGAUUGUCGGCCACAAGAUUGCCAAGCUUUCCUAUUGCAAAUCUCAUUUUCCUCCUUUCCUUUCGAGGUCACCAUGUCUCCCAUCCCCUCUCUGUAUGCAAUGCUGAGGGAAUUUUACAGCCCAGAGAAAUAAUUCAGUUAGGCAGGCUUAGCAACCACCUUAGCAACCAGAAAUGCAGGUCAAGGGAUUGCUGUUUUUGUGACUUUCUACUGACAGGGGGAUUUCAUGAUCCAGAUCUGAAAGGCUAACUCCUAAUGAUAGCACUUCCUGGGGUUGGGUAGAAGGUUAUCUCUCCACCAGUGAACAUCCCUCUCUCCACCUAGGCUGUUUCUUCUCCCAUGUGAGGAGCCAGCACUACCCAGCCGGACUGGAUAGUCCGUCUAUGAGGCGAAUUAACUUUCUCCUGCUAGGAGGCAUGCCAUAGGGAUAACCUGCCACAUGUCAGACUUUCCCUCUCCGUCCGUAUGGAGGCCAAGUUACUGCCGGGUAUGUCAAAGCUUGCAGCGCCACCUAGUGGAACAGGAAUCCUCUCCAUUGGCAACCUAGUCUGCCCUUUGCCAAAAGCCUCUAGCUUUCCACUUUUUCUCCCUUUUACAUCCUUCUAAUAGACAUCAAACCUUAUGUCCCUCUGAGAGCGGGAGAACUCUGCUUUCAGCAGUGAGGAAGAAAAUGUCCUCCAAAACCAAAUUUUAGUCUCAAUACUCUCUCCAUUAGCAGGAUGGCUGCCAUUUGACCCUUAUAUUCUCUUGAGACACCUAUUCUGCUUGCAACUAGUAUUUCAUCUAAAUAGAAAGGGGAUUUUCUGUUUGGAACCUAACUGGAACCACCAUCUAAAAAUAAAUUCUCUAGUCCAUUCCAUAACAGCAGAGUAUAAAGCUCAGUACAGUACCCUUCCAUUAAGGGGCCUUGCUUAAAUGCAACUAUUACAUAAUCUCUCCCGAUACCCAUCCAUCAAGGAGCCACACAGAUCACACAAGUCUGAGAGGUCAAAGGGCAAUUAUCAGGCAGAGGACUAAGGUCACAUGGGUAAGUGUGACUAUCCCCAUUACUUAGCUACUCUGGGACCAUGGUUUGAGGGUCACGCCAGCAACCAUGAGGAGGCACACACUGUGCUGGGACCCAGGGACCAAAGAGAGAGAACCGUCAGGGAGACACUUCCACUGUCGUCCCCUCCACCCUGGGUCACACCAAAAAGAACAAGGAGACUGAGGGAUGCCUCUCCUCUUGUCUCUUUUCUAGGAUGGGUAGCAAGCCAUUUUGACUUGCACUCUGCUGGAGUACAUUUUGAACUCCUUUGACACCCAAACUCUGAAGAAAAAGCAACUCAUUUUCUUUUGCACAAGGGUGUGGCCUUUUUACCCUCUCAGGAAUGAACACACCUGGUCAGCUGAAGGGAACCUUCACUUUAAUUUUAUCCAGCAAUUAGAUCUCUUCUGUAGACAGAAGGCCAAAUGGUCCAAGGUUCUCUAUGUGCAGGCUUCCUUCGCCUUGCAAGACAACCCAGACCUUUGCAAGCAUUGCACAACCGAGUCAGCCCUCUUAGCAAUCAUAUCAGACAGGUCUGUGAAGAGUAGUUCCCCUAAGUCAGAAGAGCAAGUUUUGGAGGAGCUAUUGGAGGCAGCUUAUAAGUGCCCCAGUCCUUCCAGUUCCCUUUAUCCAGGGCCCCUUCCAAGUGCACCAUCAGCUCCUCCAGCUCCACCAUCUCCAAAGCUCCCCACUGCCCCAGCUUCACUCCUACCCCUGCAAGAAAUGCCAGAUGGAAGGGGCACCAUUAAGGUACUUGUUCCCUUCUUGUUGCAGGACCUUGGGCAAAUAAAUGGGCUGAUUUCUUGACAACCCUAAUAGAUAUAUAGAAGUCUUCCAAAAUUUAACUCAAGUGUUUGACCUCACAUGGAGGGAUGUUAUGCUGUUUCUCAGCCAAACCCUCACUGCAGCUGAAAAGCAGACAGCUCUGCAAGCAGGAAAAAGGUCUGGAGAUGAACAACAUGUUCCCUAUAGUAGACCAAAAAGGAAAAGGGGAGAUAAGGAAGGUAAGGAAAUAACAGAAAAACCAUUCUUAAUAGGGAGAGAGACUACACCUCUUGACAAUCCUGACUGGAAUCCCUGUGACCCCACAGAUGAAUGGAAAGGGAAACACUUUUAAUGUGCAUAUCAGAGGGCCUAAGAAGGACUAGGACCAAACCUCUUAAUUACUCUAAACUGUCCUUGUUGAAUCAGAAACCAGAUAAAAAUCUCCCUACCUUUUUGGAAAGGCUGACAGAAGCUAUAAUAAAACACACCUCCCUGUCUUCCAAUUCAAUAAAAAACAGGUUCAUUACUCAGGCAGCCUUGAUAUCAAAAGGAAGUUGCUGAAACAGGCCAUGUCUAAAAAUCUUUCUAGUUUUUCUCACUCUCAAGUUGAAACUUUGCAGUAUGUAAAUGACACUCUCCUCUGUGCCCCAAUCAAGGAAGUCUCAGGAAGGCACUAAGACUCUCCUCAAUUUCUUAGCUAAAAGGGAAUAUAGAAUCUAAAAAUCUAAAGCUCAGCUCUGUCAAACUUCAGUAAAGUACCUAGGCCUAAUCUUAUCAGAAGUGUGGGGGAUCAGCCAGAGUGGUGACAAAAACUAUAGGGAAAGGACACAAACCUUCUGAAAGGUCAGAAGUUUCUGCAGAGAACCAGAGGAGAAUGGCUAAAGCCAGCUGUUCUAUAACCCAGAGGCAGAGGGCAAGGAGUAGGUACAAGGGAGUGUGGGGGAAUUUAUCUUAAACAGGUUUGUUUACUUAGGUUGACCAGGAACUGACCUUGGAUCAUCCCCGCAUGUGACAUUCUCUGGAAGGGGAACAAUAAAUGUUAAUUACCUGCAGGUUGUGUUGGCUCCAGGUUUUCAGCAUUGUGCUUGCACUGAAUAAAAGCAAGCAGCUUCAGCUUCUCAGGCCUGCUGUCUGGCCACUACAGCCAGGCAGUCACCUAGCUGCUCUUAAAUUGCAUACCUGUGUCUGAGUACUCAUUUCAUCCAUUGGCCAGGGUCUGUGGGACAGACACGGCACUGAAGGAACCAGAGUACCAGGUGAGGAAAGGAUUAACCCCGUUUCCUUUAACAGUUAAGAAAAUUCUUGGGCAUUACUGAAUUUUGCAAAAUGUGGGCACCUGGGUAUGGUGAACUAGCUCAUCCUUUAUACCAACUCAUAAAAGAAACUCAAGCAGCUCCCUAACUUGGGAUCCUAAAACACAAACACCUUAAACCAGCUAAAUCAAGCUUGCUUAAAGCACCAGUUCUCAGUCUUCCUGUAGGGAAAGUAUUUAGUCUUUACAUAUAUCAGAAAGGAAGAAAAUAGCCCUGGGAGUUUUGACUAAGACUGGAGGUCCAGCUCUACAGCCAAUGGGUUAACAAUGGGGAAUAACUAAACUGUUUAACUCCACACAAUAUAACAGGACUACUGUACUCUAAGGAAAGUCUCUGGCUAACAGACAAUUGCCUCCUCAAAUAUCAAGCUUUGCUGCUAAAGGGAUCCUGCAGUCCAGUUGAAAACCUGCCCCUGCCUGAGCCCAGCCACUUUCUCCCAGAGAAAACUGGAGAACCUAAACAUGAUUGUGAAAAAGUAGUGGUGCAAACUGGGGGAAAAAUGAUCUUGUUUUCCUGGAAAAGGGAAUUUUUUCUCAGUCAACUGAAUUCUUUUUUUCACUGUGUCUUACCACUCUUGGUGCAUGCAUGAAAGACCCUGGAAUGACUUCUGGUGGCCUGGUACUCCUUGGGAAAACAGAAAAGGUGCCACAAAUCCCAUUUUGGGAAAAAUCUGUUUUCCUCAUGGAACCCCUGGAAUUCAAGAUUCAAAGAAACUUUCUUAAAAGCCUUUAAGAACUAAGUAAACUAUACUCCUGUAAACAAGGUUUGGAGCAUGUUUGUUUCUCUCUGCCUAGUUCCUCUAGAAUUUGGAAACUAGUUAUAAGUAUUCUUGAAUUACAACAAUACAGUUAUUUGCAUCAGUGCCACAAGAAUCCAUUUUCUUUUGCAACAAAACACAAUUGGAAAAACCGGUUGUUUUACCAAGGCUUUCACUGCAUAGCUUUGACUUGCAGAGCCAAUGAAAGCCUCUUGGGAAAACUGGCUUCAUACCUUGUCUACACAGUCUCUGUACAGGAUUCCUGUAGUGAGUGAGUAAAGAAUGUCACUUUCUAACAGGCCUGGAAACCCCACGCUCCUGGAACCUCAAGAAGAAAGAAGUUUAUCCAAUUCACGGGUAUUUGAGUGUACAAACCCAUGGCUGGGCUUGGCUUCAAAAGGUCCUAUCCAGGAUUCCUUGUGAAACAGAGUUCUAUCAAAGCCAAUCAAAAAGGCCUACACAGAGGUAAUUAUUCUCGCUGCACUUUUUGCAAAUAAUCAGGCCAAGUAUAAAACUAAAGUUUAUUUUGCAACCAUCUCAGUCCUAUCAUAAGUUGUUUUUAAUAAAAAUGAGAACUGGAGAGAGAGAAAUUAUGUUCCAAACUUAUUGUACAUC